GAUUCUGCAGCUCAGUUGGUUAGAGCGCUGCACCGGAAUCGCAGGGUCGCAGGUUCAAUUCCUGCCAGACG
rnacentral:tRNA from 1 species